GAGAACUCGGGUGAAGGAACUAGGCAAAAUGGUGCCGUAACUUCGGGAGAAGGCACGCUGGUGUGUAGGUGAAGUCCCUGCGGAUGGAGCUGAGACCAGUCGAAGAUACCAGCUGGCUGCAACUGUUUAUUAAAAACACAGCACUGUGCAAACACGAAAGUGGACGUAUACGGUGUGACGCCUGCCCGGUGCCGGAAGGUUAAUUGAUGGGGUUAUCCGUAAGGAGAAGCUCUUGAUCGAAGCCCCGGUAAACGGCGGCCGUAACUAUAACGGUCCUAAGGUAGCGAAAUUCCUUGUCGGGUAAGUUCCGACCUGCACGAAUGGCGUAAUGAUGGCCAGGCUGUCUCCACCCGAGACUCAGUGAAAUUGAACUCGCUGUGAAGAUGCAGUGUACCCGCGGCAAGACGGAAAGACCCCGUGAACCUUUACUAUAGCUUGACACUGAACAUUGAGCCUUGAUGUGUAGGAUAGGUGGGAGGCUUUGAAGCGUGGACGCCAGUCUGCGUGGAGCCAACCUUGAAAUACCACCCUUUAAUGUUUGAUGUUCUAACGUUGGCCCCUGACCGGGGUUGCGGACAGUGUCUGGUGGGUAGUUUGACUGGGGCGGUCUCCUCCCAAAGCGUAACGGAGGAGCACGAAGGUUAGCUAAUCCUGGUCGGACAUCAGGAGGUUAGUGCAAUGGCAUAAGCUAGCUUGACUGCGAGCGUGACGGCGCGAGCAGGUGCGAAAGCAGGUCAUAGUGAUCCGGUGGUUCUGAAUGGAAGGGCCAUCGCUCAACGGAUAAAAGGUACUCCGGGGAUAACAGGCUGAUACCGCCCAAGAGUUCAUAUCGACGGCGGUGUUUGGCACCUCGAUGUCGGCUCAUCACAUCCUGGGGCUGAAGUAGGUCCCAAGGGUAUGGCUGUUCGCCAUUUAAAGUGGUACGCGAGCUGGGUUUAGAACGUCGUGAGACAGUUCGGUCCCUAUCUGCCGUGGGCGCUGGAGAAUUGAGGGGGGCUGCUCCUAGUACGAGAGGACCGGAGUGGACGCAUCACUGGUGUUCGGGUUGUCAUGCCAAUGGCACUGCCCGGUAGCUAAAUGCGGAAGAGAUAAGUGCUGAAAGCAUCUAAGCACGAAACUUGCCCCGAGAUGAGUUCUCCCUGAGACUUUAAGUCUCCUGAAGGAACGUUAAAGACGAUGACGUUGAUAGGCCGGGUGUGUAAGCGCAGCGAUGCGUUGAGCUAACCGGUACUAAUGAACCGUGAGGCUUAACCUU
rnacentral:rRNA from 1 species